rnacentral:ncRNA from 1 species
UUAACAUGUGCGCGAGUCAUUGGGUGUGACGAAACCCAAAGGCGAAGUGAAGGUGAAGAUUCGUCUUUUCCGGACUAAGGUGAGAUCCUGUUGUCUUGCUCAUACUUUCCAAGAUGCGAGCAGCGGGCGCAUCACCGGCCCGUCCCAUGACGUAGAUAUGUGACCUCGUGCUGUGUGCACCGUCGGUGCGGAGCAAGAGAGUAACACAUUGAGACCCGAAAGAUGGUGAACUAUGUUUGUGAAGGUUGAAGCCAGAGGAAACUCUGGUGGAGGACCGUAGCGAUUCUGAGGUGCAAAUCAAUCGUAUAACGUGAGUAUAGGGGCGAAUGACUAAUCGAACUAUCUAGUAGCUGG